rnacentral:rRNA from 1 species
UCCCAGACUCCUACGGGAGGCAGCAGUGGGGAAUAUUGCACAAUGGGGGAAACCCUGAUGCAGCGACGCCGCGCGAGUGAAGAAGUAUUUCGGUAUGUAAAGCUCUAUCAGCAGGGAAGAUAAUGACGGUACCUGACUAAGAAGCCCCGGCUAACUACGUGCCAGCAGCCGCGGUAAUACGUAGGGGGCAAGCGUUAUCCGGAUUUACUGGGUGUAAAGGGUGCGCAGGUGGCAGGGCAAGUCAGAUGUGAAAGCCCGGGGCUCAACCCCGGUAUUGCAUUUGAAACUGUCCGGCUAGAGUGCAGGAGAGGUAAGCGGAAUUCCUAGUGUAGCGGUGAAAUGCGUAGAUAUUAGGAGGAACACCAGUGGCGAAGGCGGCCUACUGGACUGUAACUGACACUGAGGCACGAAAGCGUGGGGAGCAAACAGGAUUAGAUACCCCUGUA